rnacentral:rRNA from 1 species
AGUAACGCGUAGGUAACCUACCUCAUAGCGGGGAUAACUAUUGGAAACGAUAGCUAAUACCGCAUAAGAGAGACUAACGCAUGUUAGUAAUUUAAAAGGGGCAAUUGCUCCACUAUGAGAUGGACCUGCGUUGUAUUAGCUAGUUGGUGAGGUAAAGGCUCACCAAGGCGGCGAUACAUAGCCGACCUGAGAGGGUGAUCGGCCACACUGGGACUGAGACACGGUCCAG